rnacentral:rRNA from 1 species
UACGGAGGGUGCAAGCGUUAUCCGGAUUCACUGGGUUUAAAGGGUGCGUAGGCGGAUAUGUAAGUCCGUGGUGAAAUCUCUGGGCUUAACCCGGAAACUGCCAUGGAUACUAUGUGUCUUGAAUGUUGUUGAGGUGAGCGGAAUAUGUCAUGUAGCGGUGAAAUGCUUAGAUAUGACAUAGAACACCAAUUGCGAAGGCAGCUUACUACACAGUAAUUGACACUGAGGCACGAAAGCGUGGGGAUCAAACAGG